rnacentral:rRNA from 1 species
CUAUGCGCCUUGCCAGCCCCGCUCAGAAACUUAAAGGAAUUGACGGGGGCCCGCACAAGCGGUGGAGCAUGUGGAUUAAUUCGAUGCAACGCGAAGAACCUUACCUGGGUUUGACAUACACCGGAAAACCGUAGAGAUACGGUCCCCCUUGUGGUCGGUGUACAGGUGGUGCAUGGCUGUCGUCAGCUCGUGUCGUGAGAUGUUGGGUUAAGUCCCGCAACGAGCGCAACCCUUGUCUUAUGUUGCCAGCACGUGAUGGUGGGGACUCGUAAGAGACUGCCGGGGUCAACUCGGAGGAAGGUGGGGACGACGUCAAGUCAUCAUGGCCCUUACGGCCUGGGCUACACACGUGCUACAAUGGUCGGUACAAAGGGUUGCCAAGCCGCGAGGUGGAGCUAAUCCCAUAAAACCGAUCGUAGUCCGGAUCGCAGUCUGCAACUCGACUGCGUGAAGUCGGAAUCGCUAGUAAUCGUGAAUCAGAAUGUCACGGUGAAUACGUUCCCGGGCCUU